rnacentral:rRNA from 1 species
UACGUAGGGUGCAAGCGUUGUCCGGAAUUAUUGGGCGUAAAGAGCUCGUAGGCGGUCUGUCGCGUCUGCUGUGAAAACUCGGGGCUUAACCCCGGGCCUGCAGUGGGUACGGGCAGACUAGAGUGCGGUAGGGGAGACUGGAAUUCCUGGUGUAGCGGUGAAAUGCGCAGAUAUCAGGAGGAACACCCGUGGCUAAGGCGGCUCUCUAGUACGGUACUGACGCUGAGACGCGAAAGCGUGGGGAGCGAACAGG